AACGAACGCUGGCGGCAGGCCUAACACAUGCAAGUCGAGCGCCCCGCAAGGGGAGCGGCGGACGGGUGAGUAACGCGUGGGAACGUACCCUUUGCUACGGAAUAGCCUCGGGAAACUGGGAGUAAUACCGUAUGUGCCCUUCGGGGGAAAGGAUUUAUCGGCAAAGGAUCGGCCCGCGUUGGAUUAGGUAGUUGGUGGGGUAAUGGCCUACCAAGCCGACGAUCCAUAGCUGGUUUGAGAGGAUGAUCAGCCACACUGGGACUGAGACACGGCCCAGACUCCUACGGGAGGCAGCAGUGGGGAAUCUUAGACAAUGGGCGCAAGCCUGAUCUAGCCAUGCCGCGUGAGCGAUGAAGGCCUUAGGGUUGUAAAGCUCUUUCAGUGGGGAAGGAUAAUGACUGUACCCACAGAAGAAGCCCGGCUAACUCCGUGCCAGCAGCCGCGGUAAAGUACAGUGU
rnacentral:rRNA from 1 species